GUAGGUGGGCAAGCGUUGUCCGGAAUUAUUGGGCGUAAAGCGCGCGCAGGGCGGUCCUUUAAGUCUGAUGUGAAAGCCCACGGCUCAACCGUGGAGGGUCAUUGGAAACUGGGGGACUUGAGUACAGGAGAGGAAAGCGGAAUUCCAAGUGUAGCGGUGAAAUGCGUAGAGAUUUGGAGGAACACCAGUGGCGAAGGCGGCUUUCUGGUCUGUAACUGACGCUGAGGCGCGAAAGCGUGGGGAGCAAACAGGAUUAGAUACCCUGGUAGUCCACGCCGUAAACGAUGAGUGCUAAGUGGUUUAGGGGGUUUCCGCCCCUUAGUGCUGCAGCUAACGCAUUAAGCACUCCGCCUGGGGAGUACGGCCGCAAGGCUG
rnacentral:rRNA from 1 species